rnacentral:rRNA from 1 species
CCUACGGGAGGCAGCAGUAAGGAAUAUUGGUCAAUGGACGAAAGUCUGAACCAGCCAUGCCGCGUGAAGGAUUAAGGCCCUCUGGGUUGUAAACUUCUUUUAUCUGGGACGAAAAAAGGGUAUUCUUACUCACUUGACGGUACCAGAGGAAUAAGCACCGGCUAACUCCGUGCCAGCAGCCGCGGUAAUACGGAGGGUGCAAGCGUUAUCCGGAUUUACUGGGUUUAAAGGGUGCGUAGGUGGGUUUGUAAGUCAGUGGUGAAAUCUCCGAGCUUAACUCGGAAACUGCCAUUGAUACUAUAGAUCUUGAAUUAUCUGGAGGUAAGCGGAAUAUGUCAUGUAGCGGUGAAAUGCUUAGAUAUGACAUAGAACACCAAUUGCGAAGGCAGCUUACUACGGAUAUAUUGACACUGAGGCACGAAAGCGUGGGGAUCAAACAGGAUUAGAUACCCUGGUAGUCCACGCCCUAAACGAUGGAUACUCGACAUCAGCGAUACACUGUUGGUGUCUGAGCGAAAGCAUUAAGUAUCCCACCUGGGAAGUACGAUCGCAAGAUUGAAACUCAAAUGAAUUGACGG